rnacentral:rRNA from 1 species
UACGUAGGGUGCGAGCGUUGUCCGGAAUUACUGGGCGUAAAGAGCUCGUAGGCGGUUUGUCGCGUCGUCCGUGAAAACUUGGGGCUCAACCCCAAGCUUGCGGGCGAUACGGGCAGACUUGAGUACUGCAGGGGAGACUGGAAUUCCUGGUGUAGCGGUGAAAUGCGCAGAUAUCAGGAGGAACACCGGUGGCGAAGGCGGGUCUCUGGGACGGUACUGACGCUGAGACGCGAAAGCGUGGGGAGCGAACAGG